rnacentral:rRNA from 1 species
GGUGAACGCUGGCGGCGUGCUUAAGACAUGCAAGUCGAACGGCAGUCUUCGGACUGUAGUGGCGCACGGGUGAGUAACGCGUAACUGACCUACCCCAAAGUCGCGGAUAACGAUUCGAAAGAAUCGCUAAUACGUGAUGUGCUGUCAGAUUGUGUUCUGCCAGUAAAGAUUGAUUGCUUUGGGAUGGGGGUGGGUUCCAUCAGCUAGUAGGUGGGGGAAAGGCCCACCAAGGCGACGACGGAUAGCCGGCCUGAGAGGGGGGCCGGCCACAGGGGCACUGGGACACGGGUCCAAGUGCUACGGGAGGCAGCAGUUAGGAAUCUUCCACAAUGGGCGAAAGCCGGGUGGAGCGACGCCGCGUGAGGGAUGAAGGUCUUCGGAUCGUAAACCUCUGAAUCAGGGACGAAAGACACUUCGGUGGGAUGACGGUACCUGAGUAAUAGCACCGGCUAACUCCGUGCCAGCCGCCGCCGUAAAAC